GAACGUUUUGCUGUCCAGGCCCAGUGUUGGAAAUCCCUGGCCACUGCAGGAGGUUCCUGAGGGUCCUUCAUAUUUCUGAUUCCCCCAGGUAUUCCUACGGAUGUGCUUUGAAAACCCGGCUGAGACCUGAAGUUGAGUAUCCUGUUCCCCACACAAACUGAAUCCAGCAUGGACUCAGUUCCUGAGUUUGGAUUUCACAAAAGACCUGCUGUCAUCAGGACUGACCAUUUCUUUGCCAGUGGGGAUACAGAACCAUGGGAAUGAGAAUGGAGAAAGAAGACAAUUAGAACUGAACAUCGCUCUCUCUAGUACUGCAUUUGUGCUCGUGGCAAACCUGUUCUAGUAUUAAACUCCUUGAAGGAUGAAGACAAUGUUCAGUUGUUUGGAGAUGAGGGGAAUGGAGUGGUCAGGCUGAGAAGUGCUGCACACACAGAGACACUCGUUUGCCUGUGGAGUUGAGAAAAGGCCUCACUUUGCAGGCACACUGGGAAAAAUUUCCUUUGAUCUCGAUCAUUUUGCAUUUCCCCCAUGAAACUUCCUUUCCAAUCCAGAAUUAUUCCAUGACCAAGGAAUAAUUACAUCUCACUCAGCAUCAGCAGAGAGAGCCUACAGCAAACUGCUGCUCUUGCUGGGCAACCUCCACAGCUUUGUGUGAAGACUGAAGUUGGGAUCUGUAGCAACAUCCACAAUGCAGUGACUUUGAUUUGAUGUCAGCUUUGAUAAUGAAUUUCCCAAUUUGAAUCAUGA